CCUACGGGAGGCAGCAGUGAGGAAUAUUGGUCAAUGGGCGCAAGCCUGAACCAGCCAAGUAGCGUGAAGGAUGACUGCCCUACGGGUUGUAAACCUCUUUUAUAAAGGAAUAAAGUGAGGCACGUGUGCCUUUUUGUAGGUACUUUAUGAAUAAGGAUCGGCUAACUCCGUGCCAGCAGCCGCGGUAAUACGGAGGAUCCGAGCGUUAUCCGGAUUUAUUGGGUUUAAAGGGAGCGUAGAUGGGUUGUUAAGUCAGUGGUGAAAGGUUGCGGCUCAACCGUAAAAUUGCAAUUGGUACUGGCAGUCUUGAGUACAGGUGAGGUAGGCGGAAUUCGUGGUGUAGCGGUGAAAUGCUUAGAUAUCACGAAGAACUCCGAUUGCGAAGGCAGCUUACUAAACUGCCACUGACAUUGAUGCUCGAAAGUGUGGGUAUCGAACAGGAUUAGAUACCCCAGUAGUC
rnacentral:rRNA from 1 species